CCCAAGAUCCCGUCGCGUUCAUCAGCACUCCUUCGCGUUUGGCUGCUCUAGCGAGCGCUACCUAAUUAACUCCUCGGUCGAUUGAUUUUCCAUCAAAUUUCUCCAUCUUCUACACCGAUGUCGUUUCUUCUUCUCCACCAAAUAAAUUGAGUAAUAGAUGGGGUUCCCCUUGUGGAUGUUGUGCAUGCCUCUGCGAUCCCCUGGUCCUCCUCUCGCCUAUGUGUCUCAGUUUUGGCCAAGGUGCCUCCGGCGUCGCUGGGAAGGUUGGUUCCAGCCAGUUUCACUAGAAUUGGACCGACAGUUGAUGUCCGGGGCUGGCUUCAUUUCCGGUUUGGAAAGAUGUUGUGGUGGCGACCCGGGCUCAGCCAUAUGGACUGGACGCGACUGCUGUCCAUCCCGACUGUGCGCCAUCCUCGGCCAGAGUACAGCUCCUCCCGCUGGUGCGACCCCGGCUGAUUCAGCCAUGAGAAGUUCUUCCCUUUUUUGUUGCUGGUGGAUUUGCUGCCAAUGACUACAUCAACGCCAUUUGUUAGCUUUAAGGUAACCUAAAACUCAGUUAGUAUGUUGGCGAACACCCGUUUGAGGCUACAGGUCAGCGUGAGAUUAUGUAAUUCAGCCUAUCUGAAUUCUAUUACAGUAUAAGUUGUUAGUUAUUAUUACGCGUAGAUGCCACUUAACUUAAACUGGAAGAAGAUGAUGUAUAAUCCAACUGAUCGGAAGGAUGAUCUGAUUGCACAUCAGAUCACCCACUGAAUUUGUGUUGUCGAAUUGCAGUUCUGUCAUCUACGCAACCGUAACAGGCGGUCAAGCCAGCCCCAUCUCUUCAGUUACUGGUACAAUUGAUCUUAUUGUUCGUAGCCAUUGAAGUUGGACGCCACUUAGCUGGGACCAAUAAUUAUGAUUCAUCCAUCUUUUGGUUUAUUAGUUCUCUACAUUUUUUAAGCCAGGGAAUCUUUUCAGAGGAAUCCAAUACUGCAUGGAAAAUCAGAUGUUGCAAUAUUCAAUGCAGAUUCAGCGGCAAAUUCAUACCUAAAGUGAACACAAAGAUCUCAUUUUCCUAUUG